AAUUCCAAUCGAACUUGGAGAUAGCUGGUUCUCUCCGAAAUAGCUUUAGGGCUAGCCUCAAGUGAUGAUUAUUGGAGGUAGAGCACUGUUUGGACGAGGGGCCCCUCUCGGGUUACCGAAUUCAGACAAACUCCGAAUGCCAAUUAAUUUAACUUGGGAGUCAGAACAUGGGUGAUAAGGUCCGUGUUCGAAAGGGAAACAGCCCAGACCACCAGCUAAGGUCCCAAAAUAUAUGUUAAGUGGAAAAGGAUGUGGCGUUGCCCAGACAACUAGGAUGUUGGCUUAGAAGCAGCCAUCAUUUAAAGAGUGCGUAAUAGCUCACUAGUCGAGUGACACUGCGCCGAAAAUGUACCGGGGCUAAACAUAUUACCGAAGCUGUGGAUUGUCCUUUGGACAAUGGUAGGAGAGCGUUCUAAGGGCGUUGAAGCAUGAUCGCAAGGACAUGUGGAGCGCUUAGAAGUGAGAAUGCCGGUGUGAGUAGCGAAAGACGGGUGAGAAUCCCGUCCACCGAUUGACUAAGGUUUCCAGAGGAAGGCUCGUCCGCUCUGGGUUAGUCGGGUCCUAAGCUGAGGCCGACAGGCGUAGGCGAUGGAUAACAGGUUGAUAUUCCUGUACCACCUAUAAUCGUUUUAAUCGAUGGGGGGACGCAGUAGGAUAGGCGAAGCGUACGAUUGGAUUGUACGUCUAAGCAGUGAGAUUGAGUGUUAGGCAAAUCCGGCACUCUUAAGAUUGAGCUGUGAUGGGGAGAGGAAAUUGUUUCCUCGAGUCGUUGAUUUCACACUGCCGAGAAAAGCCUCUAGAUAGAGAUUAGGUGCCCGUACCGCAAACCGACACAGGUAGUCAAGAUGAGAAUUCUAAGGUGAGCGAGCGAACUCUCGUUAAGGAACUCGGCAAAAUGACCCCGUAACUUCGGGAGAAGGGGUGCUCUUUAGGGUGCAAGCCCAGAAGAGCCGCAGUGAAUAGGCCCAAGCGACUGUUUAUCAAAAACACAGGUCUCUGCUAAACCGUAAGGUGAUGUAUAGGGGCUGACGCCUGCCCGGUGCUGGAAGGUUAAGAGGAGUGGUUAGCUUCUGCGA
rnacentral:rRNA from 1 species